rnacentral:rRNA from 1 species
UACGUAGGGCGCAAGCGUUAUCCGGAAUUAUUGGGCGUAAAGAGCUCGUAGGCGGCUUGUCGCGUCGAAUGUGAAAUCUCAGGGCUCAACUCUGACAUUGCAUUCGAUACGGGCAGGCUAGAGUUCGGUAGGGGAGACUGGAAUUCCUGGUGUAGCGGUGGAAUGCGCAGAUAUCAGGAGGAACACCGAUGGCGAAGGCAGAUCUCUGGGCCGUAACUGACGCUGAGGAGCGAAAGCGUGGGGAGCGAACAGG